UGUGUAACAAGCCUUGCAAGGGCUUAAGAAUUUUUUGUUCUUUUGUCAGAUAAUGCCGGGGAAGGUUUUUCCGGUUUAUCCCGGAGGGCUUGUAGCUCAGUUGGUUAGAGCGCGCGCUUGAUAAGCGUGAGGUCGGAGGUUCAAGUCCUCCCAGGCCCACCAAUUUAUGAUGAUUUAAUAAGAUUUAAAGAAUUAUCUAUAUCUUUAUUAUUUUUUAUAAUCAUUGCUUAUCGCGUUUUUGAUGCUUUAAGGCGGUUAUUUAAAUUUUAAGACAGUUAUUUAAAUCGUGAUUUAAAUAAGUCUGUUUAUUUAAGUUUAUUUACACUUUUUUACCCUUUUUAGGGGCCGUAGCUCAGCUGGGAGAGCACCUGCUUUGCAAGCAGGGGGUCGUCGG
rnacentral:misc_RNA from 1 species